GCUGUAUUUUCAUUUUGAAAAAAAAUAUGGCUUAGUGAGUAACAGAGGGAAGAAGAGAAGUGGAAGGCCUCUCUCAGUUUGUUGCUUAUAUACCAAACAAAGAGUCCUGGAAGCCUGCGCGCGAUCAAUCUUACUCGCCAAAAGGUCUGACAGCUCGGUGCCCUCACAACACAUUUAAGGCUUCUAACUCUCCCCCGGAUCAAAUGCAGCCAGGAAGCUCUGAGAAACACUGGCCACUCAUAUUAGAACCAGUUUCUGCUCGUAGUUUUAGUCUAGUUGUCGCUGGAGGGAUUUUUUAAAAGACAAAUAAGAAGCCAGCCACACAAGAUGCGACCAUUUCCUUUCUGGAGGGCGGUAAUGCGCCAACGAUCCUCCACAAGGGCCCAAGUGACAUUUUUAUUAUUAUGGAUGUACCCACGCAGAUGAGAGGAGGGGAGAGGGCCACCCUUGAGUUUUCCUCACGCUAAAUCAAGCAGAGGAAAGAAGAAAAACGAAUCUAGACGUUUUUUUUAAACCCAACACUAGAUAUUAAAUGUUUUUUUUUUUUUGUUAUUUUUUGUCCGAGAAAAUAUAAUCCAAAUUGAGGAUCUGUUCCUUGUUUUUUUAUGCUUUAUUGGACUUCCAUAAUACUGUUAAUUGUUCAAUUUUACAAUUAGAGUUUUUUUUACCUUCUAGAAUUUUAAGCAUUGAAUAUCUACCAAAGCAAAAAUAUAGGUGUUUGGACAUAUUUUUUCAUUCAGGAAAAUGGCUUGUAAUUGAUUUUUUUUUAUUAUUAUUUAUUUAUUUAUUUUAUUUUAUUUUUUUUGUAGAAUGUUGCUUAGUAUUAAUUAAAACUGAAGAAUGUAUUUCAUUUUAUAUCAGUUCUUUUAUUCAUUCUUCGAACCGGAGCAGCAUGGAAUGUUUGACACUGAAAGAAAAAGUGAUGUGUGUUCUCUUUUCUUCAAUAAAGAAACUGCUAAUAUGUGUCCUUCUUGCACCCUUAUUGCAUGACUGGUUAAUUUUACAUUCGCUGAGAAAAUAAUAAACCUCCUUGAAGAAGAAGAAGAAGAUGAAGAAGAAGAACAAGAAGAAGAAGAAGAAGGGGGGAAAUAGCCUAUAAUGACGACAUAGUUUGCUGCUGCACCCGUCUAGGAGCCUCAGACUACAUGUAUGCACUGAACAGGACCGAGAUGCCUAUUUUCCACCAACCUUCUCCCCACACAAAGAUGGAGGGGCGUCAAAUAAUACUAAGGGGUUCUUUUUUUUUCUUUUGCCCCGAACAAAAUAAAUAACAUUAGAAAGUCCAAUAUGACAAAACAUAAGCAAGGGAGGUUGCAUGUAAGCCUAUGGCCCUUGUUUUUGAAAACAUAUUUCCCUCAGAAAUCCCAACUCGUGGCUCUUGAGGUUUCUUACAAGUGCAACAAAAUGCAAUAACACAAUUCUUCAGCUGUGGAUAAAUAAAAGACGGACACCUUCACAUUGACAAUGAAUAACAUGUUCAUAAUACCCUGUUUGAGAUU